rnacentral:lncRNA from 1 species
CGCCUCGCCUCGCCUCGCCUCGCUCAUUGACGCGUCAACCCGACAACCCCAUAUCUGCAUGCCGUUCGCUUUUCCCACCACUUGUUUGUCUUCCUUUCAUCGCCCCGGUGAGCCGGCCACUCUGUCACCUCACAUCGGAGCCUCUGAUUUUAAAACCUGCCGAAUUCACCAAUUGGACCGCGCCGAGCAGAAAGGAACCGAGCCACGCUACUGCCGUGCAACGCAGAAACGCCUCCAAUUAAACAAAUAUAAAGGGCGUGCAUUACAUUGCCCCUUUCAAUUCGUAACAAAGAUAUGUAGUGGAUACUACACUGAUUGUAAACCAAGGGCAAUAAGGGGGAGACAAGUUUCAUGACUCAUGACAUUUGUUCCUGAAUUUUGAACUUUCAAUUAGUGGUUUGCCCCAAACAGUUUUAAGUGUUUCUCUUCUUCUCGUGGCUCGUGUGUUUAAUUAUUCAUCAUGGAUACUGCUAGAAUGAUCCCGCUGUAAAACUUACUUAUUUGACUGCCAUCGACACAGGUAAUUUAGAAACCAUUUAUAAAUACGAUUAAAACUAAGUAUU